CAGUCGCCACGGUAAUACGUAGGGUGCGAGCGUUAAUCGGAACUACUGGGCGUAAAGCGUGCGCAGGCGGUUUUGUAAGACAGGCGUGAAAUCCCCGGGCUCAACCUGGGAAUGGCGCUUGUGACUGCAAGCUAGAGUGCGGCAGAGGGGGAUGGAAUUCCGCGUGUAGCAGUGAAAUGCGUAGAUAUGCGGAGGAACACCGAUGGCGAAGGCAAUCCCCUGGGCCUGCACUGACGCUCAUGCACGAAAGCGUGGGGAGCAAACAGGAUUAGAUACCCGAGUAGUCCCUGUCUCUUAUACA
rnacentral:rRNA from 1 species